UCAGUUCUUCGAGCCAUUGUAUAACCAGCAGCAGGAAUUCAGUGUGGAGAUGACAGUUAAGUGUAGGGAACCAAAAUAUCACCAAAUACAGUACCAGAACUUGCUAAAUGCUGUGAAGGAUUCGAUUGUUCAGGGGUAAACUUGUUGGGCAGUAUGUUGCAGCUGAUGACGCUGGACCUCUGAUGUCAACAAUGCAGGUUGUAUUGCUUCUUGUGUUAUCUGGUGCAUUUCUUAGAGCCAAUCAAAUUUGUUUCUCCUGCGAUGCCACCCGAUACUGUGAGAACUGUGGUUGUUCUGUGUGGACAUGCAAUUGCUCAGAGUUCUUCAGCAAUCCUCGGCCAUAGUUAUUUGAGUGGGCUCGGUACGAGGAGGAUGACACUCAUUCAAAGAGAGGUGUUCUCCUGCUAUAUAGAGCAAGGUGGGCAACGGAUAGGAGAAUGAGUUUGUUGUCUAGUAAUGUUAUGUUUUAUGUUUUUGUUAUGUGUUGGAUAUGACGUUGGAUGCUACUUGGAGCAUAUAUAUGGUUGUUGGAACAUAUAUGUAUGUUAUGUCUUAUAUACAGGUCUUUGUAAAUUCCCGUUUU